rnacentral:rRNA from 1 species
AGUGAACGCUGGCGGUAGGCCUAACACAUGCAAGUCGAACGGCAGCACAGUAAGAGCUUGCUCUUACGGGUGGCGAGUGGCGGACGGGUGAGGAAUACAUCGGAAUCUACUUUUUCGUGGGGGAUAACGUAGGGAAGCUUACGCUAAUACCGCAUACGGCCUACGGGUGAAAGCAGGGGAUCUUCGGACCUUGCGCGAUUGAAUGAGCCGAUGUCGGAUUAGCUAGUUGGCGGGGUAAAGGCCCACCAAGGCGACGAUCCGUAGCUGGUCUGAGAGGAUGAUCAGCCACACUGGAACUGGGACACGGUCCAGACUCCUACGGGAGGCAGCAGUGGGGAAUAUUGGACAAUGGGCGCAAGCCUGAUCCAGCCAUACCGCGUGGGUGAAGAAGGCCUUCGGGUUGUAAAGCCCUUUUGUUGGGAAAGAAAAGCAGCAGGUUAAUACCCCGCUGUUCUGACGGUACCCAAAGAAUAAGCACCGGCUAACUUCGUG